GAUGAACGCUGGCGGCGUGCCUAAUACAUGCAAGUCGAGCGAACAGACGAGGAGCUUGCUCCUCUGACGUUAGCGGCGGACGGGUGAGUAACACGUGGAUAACCUACCUAUAAGACUGGGAUAACUUCGGGAAACCGGAGCUAAUACCGGAUAAUAUAUUGAACCGCAUGGUUCAAUAGUGAAAGACGGUUUUGCUGUCACUUAUAGAUGGAUCCGCGCCGCAUUAGCUAGUUGGUAAGGUAACGGCUUACCAAGGCAACGAUGCGUAGCCGACCUGAGAGGGUGAUCGGCCACACUGGAACUGAGACACGGUCCAGACUCCUACGGGAGGCAGCAGUAGGGAACCUUCCGCAAUGGGCGAAAGCCUGACGGAGCAACGCCGCGUGAGUGAUGAAGGUCUUCGGAUCGUAAAACUCUUUUAUUAGGGAAGAACAAAUGUGUAAGUAACUAUGCCCGUCUUGACGGUACCUAAUCAGAAAGCCACGGCUAACUACGUG
rnacentral:rRNA from 1 species